CCCCUUAGCCCAUUAAGGGAUAUUUUCAGCUCCCUUCUUCAUUUACAGACCAAGAUUUUCCAGAACCUCCUAGAGAAAGAGAGAGAAGAGAGUAGAGAGAAAAAAACCAAGAUUUGAUCAAAAUCGGAGCUCCGAAUCCCAAAGCUCGUGAAGAGAAAAGUGUAGUACGAGUUGUCAUCGUCAUUUUAAGCUAAAUAUUGACCUUGGGGAAGGAUAUUUUCGUGGUUGAGCUACUGCUAAGGUAAUGCGCGAGAUGAGGUAUGAAGAUGGCCAUUUGGAGUAGACUUUAUGGGAGCCCUUGUGAAGAUCACAUCUGCAUAUGCAUCUAGUUUUUGUAAAUUUUUGGGGACUUGUACAUGAUACAUAUGUGGCACUUACGUAUGAAAUUUUGAAGGCUUGUGGAAAACAAGACCAUGUGCUUGUAACUUAAACUUGAUGACUGGUUUUGCUAUUUUAGGGUGUGUUUUUAACCCAAGUCAUGCCAUAUACUGAAUUUGUAUUUUGUCUUAUAAUUAUGUAUAAAGGAUGAUAAUAGUUUUGUGAAAA